AUUGAGCGCUGGCGGCAUGCCUUACACAUGCAAGUCGAACGGCAGCACGGGAGCAAUCCUGGUGGCGAGUGGCGAACGGGUGAGUAAUGUAUCGGAACGUGCCCAGUCGUGGGGGAUAACGUAGCGAAAGCUACGCUAAUACCGCAUACGAUCUAUGGAUGAAAGCGGGGGAUCGCAAGACCUCGCGCGAUUGGAGCGGCCGAUAUCAGAUUAGGUAGUUGGUGGGGUAAAGGCUCACCAAGCCGACGAUCUGUAGCUGGUCUGAGAGGACGACCAGCCACACUGGGACUGAGACACGGCCCAGACUCCUACGGGAGGCAGCAGUGGGGAAUUUUGGACAAUGGGCGCAAGCCUGAUCCAGCAAUGCCGCGUGCAGGAUGAAGGCCUUCGGGUUGUAAACUGCUUUUGUACGGAACGAAACGGUGAGCUCUAAUACAGUUUGCUAAUGACGGUACCGUAAGAAUAAGCACCGGCUAACUACGUGCCAGCCGCCGCCGUAA
rnacentral:rRNA from 1 species